rnacentral:rRNA from 1 species
CCUACGGGUGGCAGCAGUGGGGAAUCUUGGGCAAUGGGGGAAACCCUGACCCAGCGACGCCGCGUGGGGGAUGAAGGCCCUCGGGUCGUAAACCCCUGUUAGGUGGGACGAACGUUCUUCUGCGAACAGCAGGGGGAUCUGACGGUACCACCAGAGAAAGCCCCGGCUAACUCCGUGCCAGCAGCCGCGGUAAUACGGAGGGGGCGAGUGUUGUUCGGAAUUACUGGGCGUAAAGGGCGCGCAGGCGGCUUGGCAAGUCGAGUGUGAAAUCCCUCGGCUUAACUGAGGAAUGGCGCUCGAAACUACCUCGCUGGAGGGCGGGAGAGGGAAGUGGAACUCUCGGUGUAGGGGUGAAAUCUGUAGAUAUCGAGAGGAACACCGGUGGCGAAGGCGGCUUCCUGGCCCGUACCUGACGCUGAGGCGCGAAAGCGUGGGGAGCA